rnacentral:misc_RNA from 1 species
GAUGAAGAACGUAGCGAAAUGCGAUACUUGGUGUGAAUUGCAGAAUCCCGUGAACCAUCGAGUCUUUGAACGCAAGUUGCGCCCGAAGCCAUUAGGCCGAGGGCACGCCUGCCUGGGCGUCACACGUCGUUGCCCCCCCAUCUACUCCUUCGGGAUUGCGGGGGGCGGAUGAUGGCCUCCCGUGCGCCUCGCCGCGCGGUUGGCAUAAAUGCCAAGUCCUCGUCGACGCACGCCACGACAAUCGGUGGUUGCGAAACCUCGGUUGCCCGUCGUGUGCGGUCGUCGCGCAUCGAGGGCUCGAAAAAAUUGCCGGGUUCCGGCUCGGCUUUCAACGCGACCCCAGGUCAGGCGGGGUUACCCGCUGAAUUUAAGCAUAUCAAUAAGCGGAGGA